AAAUGCGAUAAUUAAUGUGAAUUGCAGAAUUCAGUGAAUCAUCGAGUCUUUGAACGCACAUUGCGCCCCCUGGUAUUCCGGGGGGCAUGCCUGUCCGAGCGUCAUUGCUGCCCUCAAGCACGGCUUGUGUGUUGGGCUUCCGUCCCUGGCAACGGGGACGGGCCCAAAAGGCAGUGGCGGCACCAUGUCUGGUCCUCGAGCGUAUGGGGCUUUGUCACCCGCUCCCGUAGGUCCAGCUGGCAGCUAGCCUCGCAACCAAUCUUUUUAACCAGGUUGACCUCUGAUCAGGUAGGGAUACCCGCUGAACUUAAGC
rnacentral:misc_RNA from 1 species